rnacentral:rRNA from 1 species
UACGAAGGGGGCUAGCGUUGCUCGGAAUUACUGGGCGUAAAGGGCGCGUAGGCGGAUAUCUAAGUUGGGGGUGAAAUCCCGGGGCUCAACCUCGGAAUUGCCUUCAAAACUGGAUAUCUUGAGUUCGGGAGGGGUGAGUGGAACUCCGAGUGUAGAGGUGAAAUUCGUAGAUAUUCGGAAGAACACCAGUGGCGAAGGCGACUCACUGGCCCGAUACUGACGCUGAGGCGCGAAAGCGUGGGGAGCAAACAGG